GAUGAACGCUGGCGGCGUGCCUAAUACAUGCCAGUCGAGCGAACAGACGAGAGUGCUUGCCCUCUCUGACGUUAGCGGCGGACGGGUGAGUAACACGUGGGUAACCUACCUAUAAGACUGGGAUAACUUCGGGAAACCGGAGCUAAUACCGGAUAAUAUUUAGCUUCGCAUGAAGCAAUAGUGAAAGACGGUUCUGCUGUCACUUAUAGAUGGACCCGCGGUGUAUUAGCUAGUUGGUGAGGUAACGGCUCACCAAGGCAACGAUACAUAGCCGACCUGAGAGGGUGAUCGGCCACACUGGGACUGAGACACGGCCCAGACUCCUACGGGAGGCAGCAGUAGGGAAUCUUCCGCAAUGGACGAAAGUCUGACGGAGCAAUGCCGCGUGAGUGAAGAAGGUUUUCGGAUCGUAAAACUCUGUUGUAAGGGAAGAACAAGUACGUUAGUAACUGAACGUACCUUGACGGUACCUGAACAGAAAGCCACGGCUAACUACGUG
rnacentral:rRNA from 1 species